GCCCCUGACCAGGGCUUCAAACAGUAACAUUGCAGCGCAUACCUGCAAGCUCUGUGUUCCUUGACCUUCUGCCCAACUCAACUUUCUCUGUAUGCGGGUGUGCUGCUCUUAAGAAUUUAACGAAAUUUUUUAGCAAUUCUAUUAAGCCUAAGGUAAUUCGGGUACUAAUCUAGGACCUGCCUUACUGCCUCAACCCCGACACCUGCUGGCCAAUCAAGAUUAUUACACCGACAACAAUUUUCUGAAAAUUAUAGAGGUGUGGAGGAUUUAAGUCCUGGAAGUUAAACAUUUGAAGAUGGAAUUACAGAGAACACUAAGACACAUUAUACAAGUUACUAUGAUUCUGUAUUAUAAGGUCUGGGCAGCCAGGAAACAAACAAACAGCCUCUGUGAACACAUUAUGGACCAGAGUUGUUGACACUGUCCACUGAGUAGCUGGCCGAGAGCUGGGAUUGGUUUAACGUUCACUCACAC